rnacentral:rRNA from 1 species
GUCUAUAGCCAUACCACUGUGAAUGCGUUCAAUCUCCUCUGAUCUCGGAAGCUAAGUAGGGUCUGGCCUAGUUAGUAGUUGGAUGGAGAUUUAGCUAAAAGCAAAUACAGGCA